GAUGAAGAACGCAGUGAAAUGCGAUAAGUAAUGUGAAUUGCAGAAUUCAGUGAAUCAUCGAAUCUUUGAACGCACAUUGCGCCCAUUAGUAUUCUAGUGGGCAUGCCUGUUCGAGCGUCAUUAAGUCCACUUAAGCUCUGCUUAGUGUUGGGAGACUGCUCCAGCGGUGCUACCCUGUAGCUACCCUGCAGCUCCUCAAAGACAGCGGCGGAGUUGUGGUAUCCUCUGAGCUUAGUAACUUGUUCUAGCUUUCGAGUACACCACUUCCCCUGCCGUAAAACCCUUAAUUUUUAAUGGUUGACCUCGGAUCAGGUAGGAAUACCCGCUGAACUUAAGCAUAUCAAUAAGCGGAGGA
rnacentral:misc_RNA from 1 species